CCAUCACAGCAGAAAGAAUGCAGCUUGAAAUGCCCACUUAAAAAAUAUUCACCUGCACUAGAUUGUAAAGACUGGGGUGGACCUCUUUCUUAAUGUCCAAUGUCCUUUGUCUUAAAAUUUGGUGCAAUAUGU
ensembl:snoRNA